AGUGAACGCUGGCGGUAGGCCUAACACAUGCAAGUCGAACGGCAGCACAGUAAGAGCUUGCUCUUACGGGUGGCGAGUGGCGGACGGGUGAGGAAUACAUCGGAAUCUACUUUUUCGUGGGGGAUAACGUAGGGAAACUUACGCUAAUACCGCAUACGACCUACGGGUGAAAGCAGGGGAUCUUCGGACCUUGCGCGAUUGAAUGAGCCGAUGUCGGAUUAGCUAGUUGGCGGGGUAAAGGCCCACCAAGGCGACGAUCCGUAGCUGGUCUGAGAGGAUGAUCGGCCACACUGGAACUGAGACACGGUCCAGACUCCUACGGGAGGCAGCAGUGGGGAAUGUUUGACAAUGGGCGCAAGCCUGAUCCAGCCAUACCGCGUGGGUGAAGAAGGCCUUCGGGUUGUAAAGCCCUUUUGUUGGGAAAGAAAAGCAGCAGGUUAAUACCCCGCUGUUCUGACGGUACCCAAAGAAUAAGCACCGGCUAACUUCGUG
rnacentral:rRNA from 1 species